CUACGGGGGGCAGCAGUGGGGAAUAUUGCACAAUGGACGAAAGUCUGAUGCAGCAACGCCGCGUGGAGGAUGACACAUUUCGGUGCGUAAACUCCUUUUAUAUAGGAAGAUAGUGACGGUACUAUAUGAAUAAGCACCGGCUAACUCCGUGCCAGCAGCCGCGGUAAUACGGAGGGUGCAAGCGUUACUCGGAAUCACUGGGCGUAAAGAGCGUGUAGGCGGGUUAAUACGUUGGAAGUGAAAUCCUAUGGCUCAACCAUAGAACUGCUUCCAAAACUGUUAACCUAGAAUAUGGGAGAGGUAGAUGGAAUUUCUGGUGUAGGGGUAAAAUCCGUAGAGAUCAGAAGGAAUACCGAUUGCGAAGGCGAUCUACUGGAACAUUAUUGACGCUGAGACGCGAAAGCGUGGGGAGCAAACAGGAUUAGAUACCCUAGUAGUC
rnacentral:rRNA from 1 species